rnacentral:rRNA from 1 species
AGCGAACGCUGGCGGCAGGCUUAACACAUGCAAGUCGAGCGGGCGUAGCAAUACGUCAGCGGCAGACGGGUGAGUAACACGUGGGAACGUACCUUUUGGUUCGGAACAACUGAGGGAAACUUCAGCUAAUACCGGAUAAGCCCUUACGGGGAAAGAUUUAUCGCCGAAAGAUCGGCCCGCGUCUGAUUAGCUAGUUGGUAGGGUAAUGGCCUACCAAGGCGACGAUCAGUAGCUGGUCUGAGAGGAUGAUCAGCCACACUGGGACUGAGACACGGCCCAGACUCCUACGGGAGGCAGCAGUGGGGAAUAUUGGACAAUGGGCGCAAGCCUGAUCCAGCCAUGCCGCGUGAGUGAUGAAGGCCCUAGGGUUGUAAAG